rnacentral:tRNA from 1 species
GCUGGGGCUCAAUGGGAGAGCACUUGCCUGGUAUAUAUGAGGCACUGGGUUCAAUUCUCAGCUCUGCA